GCGGCCACCAACCUUCCCACCUUCAGAGCCUGGGCCGCCGGCUCCUCUCUGCCUCCUUCCUUCUUUCCCUCCUCUGCCUGAGGUGUCCGUUUGGGAGAGGCCGAAUGGAAAGGCGAGGUGCGGAUGGAUGCUCGCUCUCUCCUGACAGGAGGUCAUUUUUCAUCACUGGGAUUGGCUCUGAGACCCGCCUUUGUGAGGGAAACUCCAUUCCACAAAUACUUGCUCUCUUGUGAAGCCAGGUCACCAGGCGAAGAUUUGGGAAAGCUUUUCUGAAACUCUUUCCUGGCUCCCUCCCUAAGCCAACACCUAGCCCUAUUUGGCCCCCUCGCCCCGCCCCAAAUACAUUGUUUCUCUGA